UACGAAGGGGGCUAGCGUUGUUCGGAAUUACUGGGCGUAAAGCGCACGUAGGCGGUUAGCAUAGUCAGGUGUGAAAGCCCCGGGCUCAACCCGGGAAAUGCACUUGAUACUGGCUGACUAGAGUUCGGGAGAGGAGAGUGGAAUUCCCAGUGUAGAGGUGAAAUUCGUAGAUAUUGGGAAGAACACCAGUGGCGAAGGCGGCUCUCUGGUCCGAUACUGACGCUGAGGUGCGAAAGCGUGGGGAGCAAACAGG
rnacentral:rRNA from 1 species